rnacentral:rRNA from 1 species
GACGAACGCUGGCGGCGUGCUUAACACAUGCAAGUCGAACGAUGAAGCCGGAGCUUGCUCUGGUGAAUUAGUGGCGAACGGGUGAGUAACACGUGAGUAACCUGCCCUUGACUCUGGGAUAACUGCGGGAAACUGUAGCUAAUACCGGAUACGACCCUCGGAGGCAUCUCCUGGGGGUGGGAAGAAUUUCGGUCAAGGAUGGACUCGCGGCCUAUCAGCUAGUUGGUGAGGUAAAGGCUCACCAAGGCGACGACGGGUAGCCGGCCUGAGAGGGUGACCGGCCACACUGGGGCUGAGACACUGCCCAGACUCCUACGGGAGGCAGCAGUGGGGAAUAUUGCACAAUGGGCGCAAGCCUGAUGCAGCAACGCCGCGUGAGGGAUGACGGCCUUCGGGUUGUAAACCUCUUUUAGCAGGGAAGAAGCGAAAGUGACGGUACCUGCAGAAAAAGCACCGGCUAACUACGUGCCAGCCGCCGCAGUAA